rnacentral:rRNA from 1 species
AGAUUCUUGAUUUGAUUCUUUCGGGAUGACGAUUAAGAAGGAAAGCGGCGGACGGGUGAGUAACGCGUGAGUAACCUGCCCCAUAGAACGGAAUAGCCUAGUGAAAACUGGAAUAAUGCCGUAUGAAGCAGCAGCACCGCAUGAUGCAGUUGUUAAAGAUUUAUCGCUAUGGGAUGGACUCGCGUCUGAUUAGAUAGUUGGCGGGGUAACGGCCCACCAAGUCGACGAUCAGUAGCCGAACUGAGAGGUUGAUCGGCCACAUUGGGACUGAGACACGGCCCAGACUCCUACGGGAGGCAGCAGUGGGGGAUAUUGCACAAUGGGGGAAACCCUGAUGCAGCAACGCCGCGUGAAGGAAGAAGGUCUUCGGAUUGUAAACUUUUGUCUUUAGGGAAGAAACAAAUGACGGUACCUAAGGAGGAAGCCACGGCUAACUACGUGCCAGCAGCCGCGGUAAU